ensembl:snRNA LOC120098413 U2 spliceosomal RNA
AUCUUUUCUUGGCCUUUUGGCUAAGAUCAAGUGUAGAGAUACCCGAGUCUGUAAUAACUAAAAUACCUUUUUGUAAAACGUAGUGCUUUCUUGGCUAAUUUGAAAGCUGUCUUUCAGUUAGAUACACUUAUCAAGAUGGGAGAAAGAUGU